rnacentral:rRNA from 1 species
CAAAUCCGGCAAGAGAAGUGUCAAUUAAUGUAGUAUGUUCUCUUACUAAAGAAUCCCCUCCUAUUUAUAUUUCCCAAAGGUGGGGAUUCUUCGCAAUGGGCGAAAGCCUGACGGAGCAAUACCGCGUGAGGGAGGAAGGCUCCUGGGUUGUAAACCUCUUUUCUCAGGGAAGAACACAAUGACGGUACCUGAGGAAUCAGCAUCGGCUAACUCCGUGCCAGCAGCCGCGGUAAUACGGAGGAUGCAAGCGUUAUCCGGAAUGAUUGGGCGUAAAGCGUCCGCAGGUGGCUGUGUAAGUCUGCUGUCAAAGAGCAAAGCUCAACUUUGUAAAGGCAGUGGAAACUACACGGCUAGAGUGCGUUCGGGGCAGAGGGAAUUCCUGGUGUAGCGGUGAAAUGCGUAGAGAUCAGGAAGAACACCGGUGGCGAAGGCGCUCUGCUAGGCCGCAACUGACACUGAGGGACGAAAGCUAGGGGAGCGAAUGGGAUUAGAUACCCCAGUAGUCCUAGCUGUAAACGAUGGAUACUAGGCGUGGCUUGUAUCGACCCGAGCCGUGCCGUAGCUAACGCGUUAAGUAUCCCGCCUGGGGAGUACGCACGCAAGUGUGAAACUCAAAGGAAUUGACGGGGGCCCGCACAAGCGGUGGAGUAUGUGGUUUAAUUCGAUGCAACGCGAAGAACCUUACCAAGGCUUGACAUGUCGCGAACUCUUCUGAAAGGAAGAGGUGCCUUCGGGAGCGCGAACACAGGUGGUGCAUGGUUGUCGUCAGCA